AGAAAAAUCUUCUUACAGGUACAACAACAAAAGGGGCUUGGUAUUUACCCCAAAAAAGAGGUGGAUAAAAAUUGGCAGAUUUUCUAUUUUUUUAGCAAGAUCUACUGUACUUAGUUGUCAAGAUAUUUUGAUACUGUAAUGCUAAUUUGAUCAGAAUUAAGGCAAUUGUUGCUCAGGUGAGCGAUGUGGCCCCUGGGCCUCUUGUUUCAGGUAUUAGACGGACCCAAACGUUCUGAUAGCUGAAGCAGACCAGGAUUACUGGAUCGUCGUUAGCCAUUCCCACAUCUUCAGCAGAAGACAAUUUGUAGCGCAUCUGAGUUCUAUCGUUUAUGUUUCUGACACGACAUGUGAUAAAAAAACAUGUUCGUGCCUGUCUUCAAUAAACUUGAUCCUGUACGCUAUCCCCUGUGUUCAAUAAACUUGAACGUGUACGCCUUUACCUUUGUUAAAUAAACUUGAACGUGUCCUCCAUAUCCUGUAUUAAAGAAACUUGUACGUGUCCGCCAUUACCUGUGUUCAAGAGACUUGUAAGUGUCCGCCAUUACCUGUGUACAAGAAACUUUUACGUGUCUGCAGUUCCCUGUGUAAAAACAUUUUGUACAUGUCCGUCGUGACCUGUGUACAAUAACAUGUCCGUGUCUGACAAUACCUGUGUACAAUAACUUGUCCGUGUCUGACAAUACCUGUGUACAAUAACUUGUCCGUGUCGGACAAUACCUGUGUACAAUAACAUGUUUGUGUCUGACAAUACCUGUGUACAAUAACAUGUCCUUGUCGGACAAUACCUGUGUACAAUAACAUGUUUGUGUCUGACAAUACCUGUGUACAAUAACAUGUCCGUGUCUGACAAUACCUGUGUACAAUAACAUGUUUGUGUCUGACAAUACCUGUGUACAAUAACAUGUCCGUGACUGACAAUACAUGUGUACAAUAACAUGUCCGUGUCAGACAAUACCUGUGUACAAUAACAUGUCCGUGUCAGACAAUACCUGUGUACAACAACAUGUCCGUGUCUGACAAUACCUGUGUACAAUAACUUGUCCGUGUCAGACAAUACAUGUGUACAAUAACAUGUCCGUGUCAGACAAUACCUGUGUACAAUAACAUGUCUGUGUCUGACAAUACCUGUGUACAAUAUCAUGUCCUUGUCAGACAAUACCUGUGUACAAUAACAUGUUUGUGUCUGACAAUACCUGUGUUCAAUAACAUGUCUGUGUCUGACAAUACAUGUGUACAAUAACAUGUCUGUGUCAGACAAUACCUGUGUACAAUAACUUGUCCGUGUCUGACAAUACCUGUGUUUGAGAAACUCAGUCCGCCAUUUUAGGAUGCGUCAUUUUUGCAUCUGACAUUUCCUGUAUACAGACAUUUAAUGG
rnacentral:sRNA from 1 species